AUUAGCUCAGUUGGUUAGAGCCUGGUGUUAAUAAUUCCAAGGUUGUGGGUUUGAUCCCUAUAU
rfam:Manacus vitellinus contig69007, whole genome shotgun sequence.